AUAACCUUGAUUUGAGAAGGGAAUACUGGGGCAACAAUCCGAGAUUGUCAUCAAUGUAGUUGAAGAGCAUGAAGUGGUACCUUGGACAAAUGUGAAUCAUUGUUGUGUAGAAUAUUAAUUUUUUUGUAACUUGCAAUUGACACACACAGACUAUUUGGUGUAGGAUCGUCCUUUUGUUUUCUUGAAUUGCUAGUACUGUAUACAGCCUUCAGGAUGAUUGUUUUGGCUAAUGACCAUAUGUUCUACUUAGUUGUAGAAGUUUCUCUACAGAAAAUGUUAUUUCAAUGGCAUAUUUUGAAUAUGCAGCAUGUGUUCAUAUAUGCAACUUAAUUUCUGUAUUUUUAGUUGAUUUUCAGUUAUGCAUCAAGUGUUUCUGUUGUCUGGUUGCAGGAAGUGGAUAUUUGGUCAUAUGG
rnacentral:misc_RNA from 1 species